GGGGGAUUGGCGCAAUGGUAGCGCGUUGGUUUUCGGUCAGCACAAGGCCUGAAAUUCACCAAAGGUUGUGGGUUCGAGCCCCAUGUCCCUCG